rnacentral:rRNA from 1 species
UACGAAGGGGGCUAGCGUUGCUCGGAAUCACUGGGCGUAAAGGGCGCGUAGACGGCCAUUCAAGUCAGAGGUGAAAGCCCAAGGCUCAACCUUGGAACUGCCUUUGAUACUGUUUGGCUUGAGACCGGUAGAGGUAAGUGGAACUGCGAGUGUAGAGGUGAAAUUCGUAGAUAUUCGCAAGAACACCAGUGGCGAAGGCGGCUUACUGGAUCGGUUCUGACGCUGAGGCGCGAAAGCGUGGGGAGCAAACAGG